GUGAAUCAUCGAAUUUUUGAACGCAUAGUGCACUCUCUGGUAUGCCGGAGAGGAUGCCUAUGUGAGGGUCAUUUGAAAUAAGAUAAAUUUCGAGAGUUGCGGGGAAUCAAAAAGGGGACGGUCCAGCAUUCGGGUGGUGGUCGGCUAAAAUGCAAGACAAGCUCAUUGCUUGGGUUGCGUGAUACUUUCAGUUACCUAGUGACUUCACAAGGAAUCUUUGAGCGGGUGAGGAAUUGUGCACGAGAUGAACUUCAUUUAUCUCGAGGUAAAGAUUAAAUUGAAUCAGGA
rnacentral:misc_RNA from 1 species